rnacentral:rRNA from 1 species
GGCCGAUUAGCUAGUUGGCGAGGUAACGGCUCACCAAGGCAAUGAUCGGUAGCCGGAUUGAGAGGUUGGCCGGCCACACUGGAACUGAGACACGGUCCAGACUCCUACGGGAGGCAGCAGUGGGGAAUCUUGCACAAUGGGCGAAAGCCUGAUGCAGCAACGCCGCGUGGGGGAUGAAGCUUCUCGGAGUGUAAACCCCUUUCGACCCGGAAGAAUGCCCGCAAGGGUUUGACGGUACGGGUAUAAGAAGCCCCGGCUAACUACGUGCCAGCAGCCGCGGUAAUACGUAGGGGGCCAGCGUUGCUCGGAAUUACUGGGCGUAAAGGGUCCGUAGGCGGUGUGGCAAGUCGGGAGUGAAAUCUCUGGGCUCAACCCAGAGGCUGCUUCCGAAACUGCCAUGCUAGAGUGUGAGAGAGGCGAGUGGAAUUGCGGGUGUAGCGGUGAAAUGCGUAGAUAUCCGCAGGAACAUCCGAGGCGAAAGCGGCUCGCUGGAUCACAACUGACGCUGAAGGACGAAAGCUAGGGGAGCA